rnacentral:rRNA from 1 species
AUUGAACGCUGGCGGCAUGCCUAACACAUGCAAGUCGAACGGCAGCACGGGGCAACCUGGUGGCGAGUGGCGAACGGGUGAGUAAUGCAUCGGAACGUACCUUUCAGUGGGGGAUAACGUCGCGAAAGUUACGCUAAUACCGCAUAUUCUGUGAGCAGGAAAGCAGGGGUACGCAAGACCUUGCGCUGAUUGAGCGGCCGAUGUCAGAUUAGCUAGUUGGUGAGGUAAAGGCUCACCAAGGCGACGAUCUGUAGCGGGUCUGAGAGGAUGAUCCGCCACACUGGAACUGAGACACGGUCCAGACUCCUACGGGAGGCAGCAGUGGGGAAUUUUGGACAAUGGGGGCAACCCUGAUCCAGCCAUGCCGCGUGAGUGAAGAAGGCCUUCGGGUUGUAAAGCUCUUUCGGCCGGGAAGAAAUCGCACGGGCUAAUACCCUGUGUGGAUGACGGUACCGGAAUAAGAAGCACCGGCUAACUACGUGCCAGCCGCCGCAGUAAUAC